CUGCACUGUGGCUAAUUUUUUCACUAAUCGUACCCUGGCCCUCGCUUAGUUUAUUUUUUUUUUUUUCGCUUUUUUAUUGGUUCCCCUUUUCAUGGCUUCGUUCGCUCUAAGAUUCCUUCCCCAUUUUCCCGAGAUUCUUGACCAAGCCCAAACGCCUUUGAUUCGAUCUUCAUUUGUCGGUUAUUUUUAAUCUAAUGCGUCAUUCAAUAGCGAUAAAACUAGAGUAACUAUGAAAAACGGAACGGUACAGAACGGAGUUUGCUCAAAGGAAUCGGUGGACGGAAGCCGCGAUGUGUGGAGUUGUAAAGACUCUGAUUCUUCUUCUGCCGAUCAUCUUGUUGUUAUGGUCCAUGGUAUUCUCGGGAGUGCUACUGAUUGGAAAUUUGGAGCAGAGCAGUUUGUUAAAAGGCUACCUGAUAAAGUGUUUGUUCACUGCAGUGAACGAAAUAUGUCUAAACUAACUUUAGAUGGUGUGGAUGUAAUGGGUCAGCGUUUAGCACAGGAGGUCCUUGAAGUAAUACAAAGAAAGCCAAAUUUGUGUAAAAUCUCCUUUGUUGCUCAUUCUGUUGGAGGUUUAGUAGCCAGAUAUGCAAUUGGUAGACUAUAUAAACCUCCUAGGAUUGAAAAUGUUGGUAAUCCAUCUGCUGAUACACGUGAAAAGAAUUCAUGUGGUACAAUAGGUGGUCUGGAGGCUAUGAACUUCAUCACUGUUGCUACCCCACAUCUUGGUUCUAGGGGUAAAAAGCAGGUACCUUUUCUCUUUGGUGUAACUGCCUUUGAGAAAGUUGCAAAUGCUGUUAUUCAUUUGAUAUUUAGGAGAACAGGUCGGCAUCUUUUUCUCAAUGAUACUGAUGAGGGAAAACCUCCAUUGCUGAGAAUCAUGAUAGAAGAUCAUGGUGAAAAUUAUUUCAUGUCUGCACUGCAUGCUUUCAAAAGACGGGUGGCUUAUUCAAAUGUGGGCUAUGACCAUAUUGUCGGAUGGAGAACAUCAUCGAUAAGACGUAAUAGUGAAUUGCCAAAGUGGGAAGAUUCGCUUGAUGAGAAAUAUCCGCAUAUUGUACAUGAAGAAUAUUGCAAGGCAUGCGAUGCAGAGCCUAACUCUGUGGAAGAUGCUGGUCCUGAUAAGCUGGAGGAGGAACUGGUAACAGGCCUAUCCGGUGUUUCAUGGGAAAAAGUAGAUGUUAGCUUUCACAGCAGCAGGCAGAGGUUUGCUGCUCACAGUCUUAUACAGGUAUUUCUCAUUCAUACAUGCAUGGUGCAGACAUGUGGGGACACACGUGCUCUGAGACGCUCAACGGAUAUAUGUUGUAUGCAAUGUCAAAGACGAAGUCUUACAUAUUGAAGGCGCAGAUGUGAUACAUCAUAUGAUUGAUCAUUUUCUUACUUAGAAGUCAUUUACUCUUAGAACUGACACAUAUAAGCCACUGGUAUAAGGUUCGCAUUGGUGAAUGUGUCCCGGAUCAAAGAAAGGACCAAUUGCAUGGUAUGCAACUAAAUUCAGUCACAGGAAAUUUUGUUAAUUCCUGAUCUAUUGUUCUGUAUAUCUGUACAAUAUUUGUUCAUAAAUGCAGACAAUCCAAGUAGUAUUUGUAUCACUUAUUCCAUUAAUACAUGUGAUGAUUUAUUUAUAUAUAUGUAUGACAUAACAUAUACUCGUAUACAUUGAUGUUGCCGUGUCUGAUUAAUUUUAGGAGGAGCUGGUUAUUGAGUCA